rnacentral:rRNA from 1 species
UACGAAGGGUGCAAGCGUUAAUCGGAAUUACUGGGCGUAAAGCGUGCGUAGGCGGUCUUUUAAGUCUGCUGUGAAAUCCCCGGGCUCAACCUGGGAAUGGCAGUGGAUACUGGGAGGCUAGAGUGUGUCAGAGGAUGGUGGAAUUCCCGGUGUAGCGGUGAAAUGCGUAGAGAUCGGGAGGAACAUCAGUGGCGAAGGCGGCCAUCUGGGACAACACUGACGCUGAGGCACGAAAGCGUGGGGAGCGAACAGG